GACGAACCGUGCGAACGUUAUUCGGAAUCACUGGGCUUAAAGCGCGUGUAGGCGGGAGGGCACGUCCGUCGCUGAAAUCCCCCGGCUCAACCGGGGAACGGGCGCGGAUACGACCUUCCUGGAGGGGCGUAGGGGGACCUGGAACUUCCGGUGGAGCGGUGAAAUGCGUUGAGAUCGGAAGGAACGCCCGUGGCGAAAGCGAGGUCCUGGACGCCUACUGACGCUGAGACGCGAAAGCCAGGGGGAGCGAACGGGG
rnacentral:rRNA from 1 species